AAGUCGUAACAAGGUUUCCGUAGGUGAACCUGCGGAAGGAUCACUAGCAAUUGGUGGGGGUGUGUGGCUUUGGCCAGCAUCCUAUACAUUUACGCGUGUAGAGUGUGGCAGAGUAAAACAUUGCAAACAUACAUAACUUUUAACAAUGGAUCUCUUGGCUCUU
rnacentral:misc_RNA from 1 species